CGUGCCUAAUACAUGCAAGUCGAGCGGAGUUAGAGAAGCUUGCUUCUCUAACUUUAGCGGCGGACGGGUGAGUAACACGUGGGCAACCUACCUUGUAGAUUGGGAUAACUCCGGGAAACCGGGGCUAAUACCGAAUAAUCCAUUUUUGCUUCAUGGCGAGAUGUUGAAAGACGGUUUCGGCUGUCACUACAAGAUGGGCCCGCGGCGCAUUAGCUAGUUGGUAGGGUAAUGGCCUACCAAGGCGACGAUGCGUAGCCGACCUGAGAGGGUGAUCGGCCACACUGGGACUGAGACACGGCCCAGACUCCUACGGGAGGCAGCAGUAGGGAAUCUUCCACAAUGGACGAAAGUCUGAUGGAGCAACGCCGCGUGAGUGAAGAAGGUUUUCGGAUCGUAAAACUCUGUUGUAAGGGAAGAACACGUACGAGAGUAACUGCUCGUACCUUGACGGUACCUUAUUAGAAAGCCACGGCUAACUACGUG
rnacentral:rRNA from 1 species